GACGAACGCUGGCGGCGUGCUUAACACAUGCAAGUCGAACGCAGUGGGGACGGGUGAGUAACACGUGGGUAACCACCCAUCAGAGGGGAUAAAACUUGGAAACAGGUGCUAAACCGAUACGGAAGGCUGGACACGCGGUGCAUUAGCUAGUUGUGGAGGUAACGGCUCACCAAGGCCACGAUGCAUAGUCGACCUGAGAGACUGGUCGUCCACACUGGGACUGGGACACGGCCCUAAAUCAUACGGGCGGCAGCAGUAGGGAAUCUUCGGCAAUGGACGAAAGUCUGACCGAGCAACGCCGCGUGAGUGAAGAAGGUUUUCGGAUCGUAAAACUCUGUUGUUAGAGAAGCGGUAUCUAACCAGAAAGCCACGGCUAACUACGUGCCAGCCGCCGCGGUAAUAC
rnacentral:rRNA from 1 species